rfam:Myceliophthora thermophila ATCC 42464 chromosome 2, complete sequence.
GCCUGCUUAGCAUAGUGGCUAAUGCGUUGCACUUGUAUCAUUCGACGACAUGCAAAGAUCACAGGUUCGAUUCCUGUAGUAGGCA